rnacentral:rRNA from 1 species
GGGUAGUUUGACUGGGGCGGUCUCCUCCCAAAGAGUAACGGAGGAGCACGAAGGUUGGCUAAGCAUGGUCGGACAUCAUGCGGUUAGUGCAAAGGCAUAAGCCAGCUUGACUGCGAGAGUGACGGCUCGAGCAGGUACGAAAGUAGGUCUUAGUGAUCCGGUGGUUCUGAAUGGAAGGGCCAUCGCUCAACGGAUAAAAGGUACUCCGGGGAUAACAGGCUGAUACCGCCCAAGAGUUCAUAUCGACGGCGGUGUUUGGCACCUCGAUGUCGGCUCAUCACAUCCUGGGGCUGAAGUAGGUCCCAAGGGUACGGCUGUUCGCCGUUUAAAGUGGUACGCGAGCUGGGUUUAGAACGUCGUGAGACAGUUCGGUCCCUAUCUGCCGUGGGCGUUGGAAGAUUGAAAGGGGCUGCUCCUAGUACGAGAGGACCGGAGUGGACGCACCACUGGUGUUCGGGUUGUCAUGCCAAUGGCAUUGCCCGGUAGCUAAGUGCGGAAGAGAUAACCGCUGAAAGCAUCUAAGCGGGAAACUUGCCUUGAGAUGAGUCUUCCCUGACCCUUAAAGGGUCCUAAAGGAACGUUUAAGACUAAGACGUUGAUAGGUUGGGUGUGUAAGCGUAGCGAUACGUUGAGCUAACCAAUACUAAUGAACCGUGAGGCUUAACCUG